CAAACAUGUUUUUGAUAGCAGUAAUGGAGAAUUGGAAGACUGAUUAUUUCACAUACUAAAACGGAUUGUUUACCAGUAGAGUAACUAAGGUGCAGACGACAAUUUUGGCUUAUGCGUCUACAUAAAAAUGAGUGAAGUACAGGCUAUGGUAGAAUUCUCCGUGGAGCUCCACAAAUUCUACAAUGUGGAUUUGUUUCAAAGAGGUUUUUACCAGAUUCGUGCAUCUAUGAAAAUUCCUCCAAGAGUUCCGCACAAAUUAGAAGCCAGCUUGUUACCUGUGA